UCCAGGGUAGCCUGUGGACAUGGCAUCUGCCCAGUAAGCGGAACACUGUGGGUUCGAUUCCCAUCCCUGGAC
rnacentral:tRNA from 1 species